rnacentral:lncRNA from 1 species
CUCCCUCUCUCAACCACACCCAUCUUCUUUACGCGUUUCUCCGGUGAACAUGGCUGGACUCCGGUGAAAUCCGUCGCUAGUCACGACACCAACAAUAUCACCCAUUUUUGCUACUUCUUUACAUGGUUUCUUUAUCGGAAUUGAUGGUCGGUGAUCUCUGACCAAAUCCACCAAUUAGCCGUCGUCGCUGCCUCGCCGGAUCUGACUAUUGGCAGUCGCGCCUCCUCCAACUACCACCGCACGGCUUUCUCUUCUUUUUCCUUUUCACUACCGCUGCUUCAGCAAAAGUGAUGUCCGGCGAAGCUCCAACGCAAACCACCACCACCCCCUCCCUUUCUAUAUCACUUUUCUUUAGUUUAUUGACUAGAUAAGAUUAGAUUUAGCCAGAAUAUUGAUACUCCAACGUUGCUCCGGUAAAGGCCAUGAAAGCAACACCACUCUCUUCAAUGAUUUAUGGUGUUGUCUCCGUUGAAUGAAUUUUUGAAAUUUUUUAUAUUUUUACGUUAUUGGAUAAAUCUGGUUGGAGCCUAUAUUUUUUGACAACUUUUUGGUUGUCUGGGCUUAUUCUCCAUAAAUUGUUUUCCUCUCGAAGACAAUAUGUUUAUUUUUGCAGUGUGUUGUUUUGUUGAUUCAACAUUGUUACUGGUGUGAUGUUUAGUCCCUUUCACUCGCUUAUUGCCCCUUUAUUUUGCUACUGGUGACUAUUGUUUUCUGUUGUUAAGCAGUUACAGAAUCGGUGAUGCUGUUCUACUAUCGUUUUGAUUUUUG